rnacentral:rRNA from 1 species
GCAGAGUGGACGUUCGGGAUCCAGAGAGCGGCGUACGGGUGCGGAACACGUGUGCAACCUGCCUUUAUCAGGGGGAUAGCCUUUCGAAAGGAAGAUUAAUACCCCAUAAUAUUUAGAAUGGCAUCAUUUUAAAUUGAAAACUCCGGUGGAUAGAGAUGGGCACGCGCAAGAUUAGAUAGUUGGUGAGGUAACGGCUCACCAAGUCUGCGAUCUUUAGGGGGCCUGAGAGGGUGAUCCCCCACACUGGUACUGAGACACGGACCAGACUCCUACGGGAGGCAGCAGUGAGGAAUAUUGGACAAUGGGUGCGAGCCUGAUCCAGCCAUCCCGCGUGAAGGACGACGGCCCUAUGGGUUGUAAACUUCUUUUGUAUAGGGAUAAACCUACCCUCGUGAGGGUAGCUGAAGGUACUAUACGAAUAAGCACCGGCUAACUCCGUGCCAGCAGCCGCGGUAAUACGGAGGGUGCAAGCGUUAUCCGGAUUUAUUGGGUUUAAAGGGUCCGUAGGCGGAUGUGUAAGUCAGUGGUGAAAUCUCACAGCUUAACUGUGAAACUGCCAUUGAUACUGCAUGUCUUGAGUGUUGUUGAAGUAGCUGGAAUAAGUAGUGUAGCGGUGAAAUGCAUAGAUAUUACUUAGAACACCAAUUGCGAAAGGCAGGUUACUAAGCAACAACUGACGCUGAUGGGACGAAAGCGUGGGGGAGCGAACAGGAUUAGAUACCCUGAGUAGUCCACGCCCGUAAACGAUGCUGACUCGGUUUUUGGGGUUUUCGGGAUUCAAGACUAACGAAAGUGAUAAGUUAGCCACCUUGCGCAGUACGAACGCAAGUUUUGAAACUCAAACGCGAUUGACGGGGACCGCCACAAGCCGUG